GUUUUGGUGGCUUAAGGUUGAGAGCGUAGCACUGAAGAUGCUGAGGUGAGCGUAGGCUCCCGGGACA
rnacentral:tRNA from 1 species